AGGGUGGAGGACGAAGAGAGAGAGAGAGAGCUCCAUCUUGAAACGUCUGAAGUAAAGUGCUCCCAUGCCUCAGCCAUCCCUCAAAUGGCAGGCAGCAUGAUGCAGGGUAGAGGAUGCUCCAUUUGGGAUCAAAGGACUUGAGUUCAACUUGUUUCUGCCACUAUCUGUCAACCUUGGGAUCCCAAAAAUACAUCCUCUGACUUCUAAUCUAAGCAAAACGGUGUUAUUUGGACAAGAAUGCGGCAGCAGUUGAAGGCGGUCUCGAGGGCCUGGGGCUUUAUUGAAGAAAUCUGAAGGACCAGUUGUUAACACGUUGA